rnacentral:rRNA from 1 species
AGUGAACGCUGGCUGUAGGCCUAACACAUGCAAGUCGAACGGCAGCACAGUAAGAGCUUGCUCUUACGGGUGGCGAGUGGCGGACGGGUGAGGAAUACAUCGGAAUCUACUUUUUCGUGGGGGAUAACGUAGGGAAACUUACGCUAAUACCGCAUACGACCUACGGGUGAAAGCAGGGGAUCUUCGGACCUUGCGCGAUUGAAUGAGCCGAUGUCGGAUUAGCUAGUUGGCGGGGUAAAGGCCCACCAAGGCGACGAUCCGUAGCUGGUCUGAGAGGAUGAUCAGCCACACUGGAACUGAGACACGAUCCAGACUCCUACGGGAGGCAGCAGUGGGGAAUAUUGGACAAUGGGCGCAAGCCUGAUCCAGCCAUACCGCGUGGGUGAAGAAGGCCUUCGGGUUGUAAAGCCCUUUUGUUGGGAAAGAAAAGCAGCAGGUUAAUACCCCGCUGUUCUGACGGUACCCAAAGAAUAAGCACCGGCUAACUUCGUG